ensembl:lncRNA
AAGCAGCAUUAUUGAAUAUCUCCAGAAAUAGGGCUAGCUUGAGGUAUUGAAAUGCCAAGAGCUAUUAUAAGAGAAAUCAAUCUGUUGGGCGGUAUUUCCUGAAAGCGCCUGACUACUCUCUCACAUCUUGUUACCAGACCCAACUCAGCAUUAGGAACCAAGAAGGAAUGCCAAGAAUGAGUAUUUUUACUCAAAACCCCUUAACUAUAGCAGCGCUUGGAACCUUAUCCUCCCCAAAAGAAAUGUCUCUGUCCUUUGUCAUAGAGGAGAGUGCUUCUCUUUCACUAUGAGCAGGGAGCAUGGCAAGAUGGGGUUUAGAGUGUGCUUUGAGUGUUCUUUUAUUCCGCACUUUUUGAUUCUCUUUGUAAUAACAUUAGAAUCAAACCACAUGAGUUAAUAAAUGGUAAUCCCACAGACCUUAAUGGAAGAUGAAGGUUCAGUGAGUCUAUUUUUCCUGUAAUGCAGCAAAGAGAGUUCAGGUAAGUUCAUGUGAUUGGAUGUUCCAGUAUUUCUUUCAGGUCCCUUCAUGCUUCUGGCUGUGUAUUCAGGUUUUUCAAUCAAGAACAGCCUUUGAGAGAGCUCGGGCAGGAACAACUAAGUCUUCAGGUUUCAGUCCUGGGCUAGCUUCUGCAGUCAGAACCAUACACCACCAGAUUGGUCUUCCAGAGCACAACUCUGCUAGUUGGCACAGAAAUGUGAAGGUUAUAGCAUGCAGUGAGAACAGAGUUCAAAGUGGGUGAUGCUCUUGCAAAUGAGUAGCAGAAGACCUGCUAUUCUCUAAACCUGAAACAUUCUCUAAACCUGAAACAAGCCUGGUUGCUGCAGUCAGCUUGCAAGGUCUUCUGUGUGAAGUGUCUUACUGACAGUGAAAACUACCAUUUUCUGUAGGAAAUCUUCUGGUAAUUAAUCAUAUUUUCUAUUUUCCCCAUUAAUUCUACUAUAAUCUGAUCAUGCCCGAUACAGCUUUCCAAGGACUUUUAACUGCAACUCUUCCACCACCAUUCACUGAAUAUCAGUCAGGUGAGAUUGUUGCACUGGCCAAGAAAAAACAUUUAAGACUUGCACUGGAUUUUCAGACUGAAAGGGGUAAGCCUGGGAUGACAACAUGCCUGAUGCUGUCUUAGAGAUAUCAUCUAUAACUAGGUAUUUGUUAUUUUGAUUGAUGUGUUCAUAUGCUUCCAGGUAAACACAAAUGUUAAAAUGUUAAAAUGUUAAAAUUAAUAGUUAAUUAGAGGAACUACUGGCCAUAACAACAAUAAUUGAAUAUUAUGGUAGCAACAAUGGUUUUUGUGCACUCACUGAUCACUAAUGUCUCCUGUCUCCUUUGUUUGUGCAGACUGCUCAAAGAACUGUCUAUUCCUCACAUUUACCAAGCUGCUCCAGAUGGGGACUCUGAAGGAAUGGAGUGAAAGUAAUACCAAGGAAAUUGUUCAAAAUUUGUUCAUGAAGAAAACAAGCUCGAGAGGGACAAGGGAUGUUCAGGCUCCAUUCCACUUUCCUUCACAGUGGCUUUUUCGUAAUUCAAAUGUCAUAGGCUAGAUCAGUAUAUUUACAAUGAGCUCUUCAGUCUCUUCUUUCAAGGAUCUUGCCUCUUCCAAAAGAGAGAUGUGACAGUUUCAAGUGGAAUGGUUCUUGCAGGUGAUUUUCUUUAUAUGGACAAAGUAAAACCAACAAAACCAGAACAUAAUAAACCUCACAUACCCAGUGAAGAGAAUAAACUU